UACAGAGGGUGCAAGCGUUAUUCGGAAUUACUGGGCGUAAAGCGCGUGUAGGCUGUUUUGUAAGUCAGUUGUGAAAGCCCUUGGCUCAACCAAGGAAGGGCAACUGAUACUGCUAAACUAGAGUAUGGGAUGGGAGAACGGAAUUCCUGGUGUAGAGGUAAAAUUCGUAGAUAUCAGGAGGAACAACAGUGGCGAAGGCGGUUCUCUGGACCAUUACUGACGCUGAUACGCGAAAGCGUGGGGAGCAAACAGG
rnacentral:rRNA from 1 species